AAACAUUCCGCCUGGGGAGUACGGUCGCAAGAUUAAAACUCAAAGGAAUAGACGGGGACCCGCACAAGUGGUGGAGCAUGUGGUUUAAUUCGAAGAUACGCGAAGAACCUUACCUAGCCUUGACAUAUUUUAGAACUCCGCAGAGAUGCAGAGGUGCCUUCGGGAGCUAAUUUACAGGUGCUGCACGGCUGUCGUCAGCUCGUGUCGUGAGAUGUUGGGUUAAGUCCCGCAACGAGCGCAACCCUCGUCACUAGCUACUAACGGUUCGGCCGAGGACUCUAGUGAGACUGCCUUCGUAAGGAGGAGGAAGGUGUGGACGACGUCAAGUCAUCAUGGCCCUUACGGCUAGGGCAACACACGUGCUACAAUGGCCAGGACAGUGAGACGCAAUACCGCGAGGUGGAGCAAAUCUAUAAACCUGGUCUCAGUUCGGAUUGUUCUCUGCAACUCGAGAACAUGAAGCUGGAAUCACUAGUAAUCGUAGAUCAGCUAUGCUACGGUGAAUACGUUCCCGGGUCUUGUACUCACCGCCCGUCACACCAUGGGAGUUGAUUUCACCCGAAGCGGGGAAGCUAAACUGGCUACCCUCCACGGUGGAAUUAGCGACUGGGGUGAAGUUCUAGCAACAUA
rnacentral:rRNA from 1 species